rnacentral:rRNA from 1 species
AUUGAACGCUGGCGGCAGGCCUAACAUAUGCAAGUCGAGCGGAUGAAGGGAGCUUGCUCCUGGAUUCAGCGGCGGACGGGUGAGUAAUGCCUAGGAAUCUGCCUGGUAGUGGGGGAUAACGUCCGGAAACGGGCGCUAAUACCGCAUACGUCCUGAGGGAGAAAGUGGGGGAUCUUCGGACCUCACGCUAUCAGAUGAGCCUAGGUCGGAUUAGCUAGUUGGUGGGGUAAAGGCCUACCAAGGCGACGAUCCGUAACUGGUCUGAGAGGAUGAUCAGUCACACUGGAACUGAGACACGGUCCAGACUCCUACGGGAGGCAGCAGUGGGGAAUAUUGGACAAUGGGCGAAAGCCUGAUCCAGCCAUGCCGCGUGUGUGAAGAAGGUCUUCGGAUUGUAAAGCACUUUAAGUUGGGAGGAAGGGCAGUAAGUUAAUACCUUGCUGUUUUGACGUUACCAACAGAAUAGGCACCGGCUAACUUCGUG